GCCUGGGUGGCUCAGUUGGUUAAGCAUCCGACUUUGGCUCAGGUCAUGAUCUCGGAGUUAGUGGGUUUGAGCCCCAUGUCAGGCC
rnacentral:tRNA from 1 species